rnacentral:rRNA from 1 species
CAGCAGCCGCGGUAAUACGUAGGGGGCAAGCGUUAUCCGGAAUUACUGGGUGUAAAGGGAGCGUAGACGGUUAAACAAGUCUGAAGUGAAAUGCCGGGGCUCAACCCCGGAGCUGCUUUGGGAACUGUAGAACUGGAGUGUCGGAGGGGUAAGCGGAAUUCCCAGUGUAGCGGUGAAAUGCGUAGAUAUUGGGAGGAACACCGGCGGCGAAGGCGGCUUACUGGACGACAACUGACGUUGAGGCUCGAAGGCGUGGGUAGCAAACAGGAUUAGAUACCCCCGUAGUCCCUGUCUCUUAUAC